rnacentral:rRNA from 1 species
CCUACGGGAGGCAGCAGUGGGGAAUCUUGCGCAAUGGGCGAAAGCCUGACGCAGCGACGCCGCGUGAGGGAUGAAGCUUCUCGGAGUGUAAACCCCUUUCGACCGGGACGAAUGCCCGCAAGGGAGUGACGGUACCGGUAGAAGAAGCCCCGGCUAACUACGUGCCAGCAGCCGCGGUAAGACGUAGGGGGCCAGCGUUGUUCGGAAUUACUGGGUGUAAAGGGUUCGUAGGCGGUGUGGCAAGUCGGGAGUGAAAUUUCUGGGCUUAACUCAGAAGCUGCUUCCGAAACUGCUGUGCUAGAGUGCGGGAGAGGCGCGUGGAAUUGCAGGUGUAGCGGUGAAAUGCGUAGAUAUCUGCAGGAACACCCGUGGCGAAAGCGGCGCGCUGGACCGUUACUGACGCUGAGGAACGAAAGCUAGGGGAGCAAACAGGAUUAGAUACCCUGGUAGUCCUAGCCCUAAACGAUCAGGACUUGGGGUGCCUUCCGUUCGGAAGUCGUCCCGGAGCUAACGCGUUAAGUCCUGCACCUGGGGAGUACGGUCGCAAGACUGAAACUCAAAGGAAUUGACGG